rnacentral:misc_RNA from 1 species
CAAGGUCAUUCGCAAGAGUGGCCUUGCG